UACGGAGGGAGCUAGCGUUGUUCGGAAUUACUGGGCGUAAAGCGCACGUAGGCGGCUUUGUAAGUUAGAGGUGAAAGCCUGGGACUCAACCCCAGAAUUGCCUUUAAGACUGCAUCGCUUGAAUCCAGGAGAGGUGAGUGGAAUUCCGAGUGUAGAGGUGAAAUUCGUAGAUAUUCGGAAGAACACCAGUGGCGAAGGCG
rnacentral:rRNA from 1 species